rnacentral:rRNA from 1 species
CAACCUGCCUUUCAGAGGGGGAUAACAUUUGGAAACAGAUGCUAAUACCGCAUAAGAUUACAGUACCGCAUGAUACAGUGAUCAAAGGAGCAAUCCGCUGAAAGAUGGGCUCGCGUCCGAUUAGAUAGUUGGUGAGGUAACGGCUCACCAAGUCGACGAUCGGUAGCCGGACUGAGAGGUUGAACGGCCACAUUGGGACUGAGACACGGCCCAG